rnacentral:tRNA from 1 species
GCCCUGGUAGCUCAGGGGAUAGAGCAACCGCCUCCUAAGCGGUAGGUCGCAGGUUCGAAUCCUGCUCAGGGCGCCA